rnacentral:rRNA from 1 species
CUGAUCUAGCCAUGCCGCGUGAGUGAUGAAGGCCUUCGGGUUGUAAACCUCUUUCAGCUGGGAAGAUAAUGACGGUACCAGCAGACGAAGCCCCGGCUAACUCCGUGCCAGCAGCCGCGGUAAU